rfam:Schistosoma margrebowiei strain Zambia genome assembly, scaffold: SMRZ_contig0007899
ACCCAGCUGACGAGUCCCAAACAGGACGAAACGCGCGUCCUGGAU